rnacentral:rRNA from 1 species
CAGCAGCCACGGGAAUACGAAGGGGGCUAGCGUUGCUCGGAAUCACUGGGCGUAAAGGGUGCGUAGGCGGGUCUUUAAGUCAGGGGUGAAAUCCUGGAGCUCAACUCCAGAACUACCUUUGAUACUGAAGAUCUUGAGUUCGGGAGAGGUGAGUGGAACUGCGAGUGUAGAGGUGAAAUUCGUAGAUAUUCGCAAGAACACCAGUGGCGAAGGCGGCUCACUGGCCCGAUACUGACGCUGAGGCACGAAAGCGUGGGGAGCAAACAGGAUUAGAUACCCCCGUAGUCCCUGUCUCUUAUAC